GACCUCGGUAGCUUAGUGGCCCAAAGCAGUGGGGCGUUAACCUAAAGACUUGAGUUCGAAUCCCAGUCGAGUUCCA